rnacentral:tRNA from 1 species
GGCCGUGUAGCGUAAUGGUUAACGCGCUAGUUUCCGGAGCUAGAGAUUCCGAGUUCGAGUCUCGGCAUGGUCG